AGUGAACGCUGGCGGUAGGCCUAACACAUGCAAGUCGAACGGCAGCACAGUAAGAGCUUGCUCUUACGGGUGGCGAGUGGCGGACGGGUGAGGAAUACAUCGGAAUCUACUUUUUCGUGGGGGAUAACGUAGGGAAACUUACGCUAAUACCGCAUACGACCUACGGGUGAAAGCAGGGGAUCUUCGGACCUUGCGCGAUUGAAUGAGCCGAUGUCGGAUUAGCUAGUUGGCGGGGUAAAGGCCCACCAAGGCGACGAUCCGUAGCCGGUCUGAGUGGAUGAUCAGCCACACUGGAAGUGAGACACGGUCAAGACGACUACGGGAGGGAGCAGUGGGGUAUAUUGGACAAUAGGCGCAAGCCUGGUCCAGCCAGACCGAGUGGGUGAAGAAGGCCUUCGGGUUGUAAAGCCCUUUUGUUGGGAAAGAAAAGCAGCAGGUUAAUACCCAGCUGUUCUGACGGUACCCAAAGAAUAAGCACCGGCUAACUUCGUG
rnacentral:rRNA from 1 species